rnacentral:rRNA from 1 species
AGCGAACGCUGGCGGCAGGCCUAACACAUGCAAGUCGAGCGGCCGUAGCAAUACGGCAGCGGCAGACGGGAGAGUAACACGUGGGAACGCGCCCUUCGGUUCGGGAUAACUCAGGGAAACUUGGGCUAAUACCGGAUACGCCCUUAUGGGGAAAGAUUUAUUGCCGAAGGAACGGCCCGCGUCCGAUUAGCUUGUUGGUGAGGUAACGGCUCACCAAGGCGACGAUCGGUAGCUGGUCUGAGAGGAUGACCAGCCUCACUGGGACUGAGACACGGCCCAGACUCCUACGGGAGGCAGCAGUGGGGAAUAUUGGACAAUGGGCGCAAGCUUGAUCCAGCCAUGCCGCGUGGGUGAUGAAGGCCCUAGGGUUGUAAAGCCCUUUCGGCGGGGAAGAUAAUGACGGUACCCGCAGAAGAAGCCCCGGCUAACUACGUGCCAGCCGCCGCCGUAAUAC